AGUGAACGCUGGCGGUAGGCCUAACACAUGCAAGUCGAACGGCGGCACAGUAAGAGCUUGCUCUUACGGGUGGCGAGUGGCGGACGGGUGAGGAAUACAUCGGAAUCUACUUUUUCGUGGGGGAUAACGUAGGGAAGCUUACGCUAAUACCGCAUACGACCUACGGGUGAAAGCAGGGGAUCUUCGGCCCUUGCGCGAUUGAAUGAGCCGAUGUCGGCUUAGCUAGUUGGAGGGGUAAAGGCCCACCAAGGCGACGAUCCGUAGCUGGUCUGAGAGGAUGAUCAGCCACACUGGAACUGAGACACGGUCCAGACUCCUACGGGAGGCAGCAGUGGGGAAUAUUGGACAAUGGGCGAAAGCCUGAUCCAGCCAUACCGCGUGGGUGAAGAAGGCCUUCGGGUUGUAAAGCACUUUUGUUGGGAAAGAAAAGCAGCAGGUUAAUACCCCACUGUUCUGACGGUACCAAAAGAAUAAGCACCGGCUAACUUCGUG
rnacentral:rRNA from 1 species